rnacentral:rRNA from 1 species
AUUGAACGCUGGCGGCAUGCCUUACACAUGCAAGUCGAACGGCAGCACGGGGGCAACCCUGGUGGCGAGUGGCGAACGGGUGAGUAAUACAUCGGAACGUGCCCAGUAGUGGGGGAUAGCCCGGCGAAAGCCGGAUUAAUACCGCAUACGACCUAUGGGUGAAAGCGGGGGACCGCAAGGCCUCGCGCUAUUGGAGCGGC